rnacentral:rRNA from 1 species
AUACGGAGGGCGCGAGCGUUAUCCGGAUUUAUUGGGUUUAAAGGGUGCGCAGGCGGAUAAUUAAGUCAGUGGUGAAAUCCUCCCGCUCAACGGGAGAACUGCCAUUGAUACUGAUAAUCUGGAAUACGGUUGAAGUGGGCGGAAUGUAGCAUGUAGCGGUGAAAUGCAUAGAGAUGCUACAGAACACCGAUCGCGAAGGCAGCUCACUAAGCCGAUAUUGACGCUCAGGCACGGAAGCGUGGGUAGCGAACAGGAUUAGAAACCCUAGUAGUCC